rnacentral:lncRNA from 1 species
CAUGCUCAUUACGAAUUAAACAAAACAACAAUAAAUCAAAGCUAAUCUAAAUUCAACAUUUUUAUCAAUUUCUCAAUUUCAUUCCCCAAAUCUAUUUUUAACCACAUUAUUAAACCAGUUCAACUAUCAAAUCACUUUUCAAAAUCCGAAACCAACAACACAUACCCCAACGAAGAUUCAAACAUUUAAGCAUACCAAUCAUUCAUAUCCACAACAACAAUUAACAUUUUGCUCGAAAUAUUCAAAAUCGCACCACAAAAU